rnacentral:misc_RNA from 1 species
GUAAUAUUACCCAUUCUGAAGAAAAAAUUGGCUUUUCUUUCAGGAGGGAAGGACAGAAGAAGUGGUCUCAUUCUGACAAUUCCAUUAUGCCUUGAGCAGACAAGUAUGGAUGAGCUGAGUGUCACGCUGGACUACCUGCUCAGCAUCCCAAGUGAGAAGUGCAAAGCAAGAGGAUUUACUGUGAUAGUGGAUGGCAGAAAAUCUCAGUGGAACGUGGUGAAGACAGCUGUGUUAAUGCUACAGAAUGUUGUUCCAGCUGAGGUAUCACUUGUUUGUGUCGUAAC